rnacentral:tRNA from 1 species
GCCUGGGUGGCUCAGUUGGUUGAGCUUCUGAUUUCAGCUCAGGUCAUGAUCUCUCAUGAUUUGUGAGUUUGAGUCCUGCAUCAGGCU